rnacentral:rRNA from 1 species
GGGUCCGCGUCUCAUUAGCUAGUUGGUAGGGUAAUGGCCUACCAAGGCAACGAUGAGUAGCUGGUCUGAGAGGAUGAUCAGCCACACUGGAACUGAAACACGGUCCAGACUCCUACGGGAGGCAGCAGUGGGGAAUAUUGCGCAAUGGGCGAAAGCCUGACGCAGCAACGCCGUGUGAGGGAUGAAGGCUUUCGGGUCGUAAACCUCUGUCGGAAGGGAAGAACGGGCAUUGGUCUAAUAGGCCUUUGUUUUGACGGUACCUUUAGAGGAAGCACCGGCUAACUCCGUGCCAGCAGCCGCGGUAAUACGGAGGGUGCAAGCGUUAUUCGGAAUUACUGGGCGUAAAGCGCACGUAGGCGGCUUCGUAAGUCAGGGGUGAAAUCCCACGGCUCAACCGUGGAACUGCCUUUGAAACUGCAAAGCUUGAAUCCUGGAGAGGGUGGCGGAAUUCCUGGUGUAGGAGUGAAAUCCGUAGAUAUCAGGAGGAACACCGGUGGCGAAGGCGGCCACCUGGACAGGUAUUGACGCUGAGGUGCGAAAGUGUGGGGAGCAAACAGGAUUAGAUACCCUGGUAGUCCACACCGUAAACGAUGAACACUAGGUGCCGGGG